GGCCUACGGGGCGCAGCAGUGGGGAAUAUUGCACAAUGGGGGAAACCCUGAUGCAGCGACGCCGCGUGAGUGAAGAAGUAUUUCGGUAUGUAAAGCUCUAUCAGCAGGGAAGAAAUAGCGACCUUUGGGUCGCCAGACGGUACCUGAUUAAGAAGCCCCGGCUAACUACGUGCCAGCAGCCGCGGUAAUACGUAGGGGGCAAGCGUUAUCCGGAUUUACUGGGUGUAAAGGGAGCGUAGGUGGCAGGGCAAGUCAGAUGUGAAAACCCGGGGCUCAACCCCGGGAGUGCAUUUGAAACUGUCCAG
rnacentral:rRNA from 1 species